rnacentral:rRNA from 1 species
CAGCCGCCGCGGUAAUACGGAGGGGGCUAGCGUUGUUCGGAAUUACUGGGCGUAAAGCGCACGUAGGCGGCUUGGUAAGUUAGAGGUGAAAGCCUGGAGCUCAACUCCAGAAUUGCCUUUAAGACUGCCGAGCUAGCAGGUGAGAGAGGUAAGUGGAAUUCCGAGUGUAGAGGUGAAAUUCGUAGAUAUUCGGAAGAACACCAGUGGCGAAGGCGGCUUACUGGCUCAUACUGGACGCUGAGGUGCGAAAGCGUGGGGAGCAAACAGGAUUAGAGACCCCUGUAGUCCAUGUCUCUUAUAA